rnacentral:lncRNA from 1 species
GCCCCUGCCCUGGGGGCAACCACCGUCAAAUGGGAUGGACACACACUUAUGAAAUCAACUCCCACUCUGGCAAGCUGAGAGAGAUGCCCAGGGAGAUAAACGCCUUAGAGACCCAAGGAGAAGCUGGUGAUUAAUUCUGACACGAGGCACACAGGUCAGCGAUGGCUUCACACUGUAGGUGAGGUUGAAACUGGGGUUCAGAGGACAAAUUAACCCAGAAGGGCAACAUACUUCAAAGAAAACAGACAAACUUUUCACCGCCAUCAUCCUUCUGAGAAAAGAGCAUGGCCUGAAGCCCUGGUGCGUCGGAAGCAGCUGUGUCGUGGAUGCCCCAGCUCCUGACAUGCCCACUCCAGACUCAGGAUCAGCAGGGAGGCCUCAUCCCACAGCCAAGGACCUCCAGUGAGAGGAAAGGAAGC